UAAUAUAUUUAGACCUUGCCCUUUCUGUUUCUCAGUUCUAUAUUGGCUUCAUUCUUCGGUAGACUAGAUCUUUGUGGAAAAAAUGAUAGGCUGCAGCUCCAGGCUUACAUAUCAUUUCUGAGUAAUGUUUGACCACAAAGUGACACUUUAAAAAAAAAUCAAAUAAUAUAAAACACAAUGUGAUAAAAUUAUAAAUCAAUAUCAGAGAUAUCAAACUCCCCAUGUGUUAGUAAACUAAAAAAGACACUUCAAAAUAAACUAUGGAUCAAAUAGUAAUUUCAUAAUUAUUAAAAAUCAAUGAUAUACUUCUGCUUCUGGCUAGGGUAUAGAAAGUCAAAACUCCCUAACACAUAGAGCAAACCGCAUAAGCUACAAAAUCAAUUUUUUUUAAGUACACAAUUUUGGUGAAGAAGAUUGGCCCUGAGCUACCAUCUGUUGCCAAUCUUCCUCUUUUUUUUAUUUUCUCCCCAAAGCCCCAGUACAUACUUGUAUAUCCUAGUCGAAGGUCAUUCUAGUUCCUUUAUGUGGGAUGCCACCACAGCAUGACUUGAUGAGCGGUGUGUAGAUUCAUGCCCAGGAUCUGAACCAGUCAACCCCAGGCUGCCAAAGUGGAGCAUACACAUUUAACCACUUGGCCACAGGGCUGGCCGCCAAAAUCAGUUUUUGAAAUCUACCAGAAGCUUGAAGUAUAAAAGUACCAAAAUAAACUAAAAUUCUUUCUAGUAUAAAAGAGAACCACUCCUGUUUCCAUGACUGGUAGAAUGGCACGAGGUGGAAGAUUCCUCUAUAGAUGAGAAAAUUUGGCCUCACACAGAUAUGUGGUUGGAAAGAAGAGGUUCCAGCCACCUUGAAAGAAUCCCAGGACCCCAAGAGCCUUCGGAUUGUACUUUGAAAACUGCUACCUGAGGAGAUGACGUAACCACAGAGCUGCACGGGUCAAAGUCACCUGCUGUCCUGCACCUUCCGCCUCCCUGAGAACUGCUACUUGUCAGAGAAGUAAGCUCCGGUCUCCUUUGAGCCACCGUGUUUUGGGGACUCUUGGUUAGGGAAGUUUAGUUAAUACCCCAUAUAAUACACAGAUAUAUAAGCAAAGUAUAAAAUGUGAUCUGGCAAUAUAUACACCCACCACAAAAUAUGAUUUGGAAAAGGUACAAAGGGCCUUUAUAUGUAUCUGUAAUAUUUUAUUGAUUCUAAAAGUGUAUUUCAAGAAAAUAUGGCAAAGAAUCAACCUUUCUUAAAU
rnacentral:lncRNA from 1 species